UGCAAAAUUUCUGAAAGACCAGGUUCUCCAGCAUGAAGGAGGCAGGAUUGUGUCUAGGCCCUUCCUCAGGGGCCACAGGAUGGUGUAAGCCAAGGGCAGAGGCAGAGACCUAGAAGGCCGGUAGAUCAGAUGGAAUAAAAGGGGACAAAGGAAAGGAGAGAGGUCAUUUCACCGGAAAGGCCCGUGGUGAGCCUGAACAGCCUUCAUGGCAUUGCAGACAAGAAGGACAAGAUCACAAGAAGACAUCCAAUCCAGUUUGACAGAGGAGAAAAGGGAGGCUGGGGGAGAUGAGGUGACAAGGCAGGAAGCCUCAGAAGUGAGUUUUGAACUCACUUCUUCAGUCUCUGCUGUCCCACGCGAAAGGGAAAAUUAGUUUAAAAACGUCAUCAAAGAAGUGUGUGAUUAGAAAAGAACUUGGUCCAGCCAUGUAAUGAGAGAGGGAUAACUAAGAGACAGCUUGAGUUCUCCAUCGAGAUCAAUGCAAUAACAAA